UACGUAGGGUGCGAGCGUUGUCCGGAAUUAUUGGGCGUAAAGAGCUCGUAGGCGGUUUGUCGCGUCGGCCGUGAAAUCUCCACGCUUAACGUGGAGCGUGCGGUCGAUACGGGCAGACUUGAGUUCGGUAGGGGAGACUGGAAUUCCUGGUGUAGCGGUGAAAUGCGCAGAGUAUCAGGAGGAACACCGGUGGCGAAGGCGGGUCUCUGGGCCGAUACUGACGCUGGAGGAGCGAAAGCCGUGGGGAGCGAACAGG
rnacentral:rRNA from 1 species